rnacentral:rRNA from 1 species
GGGGAAUUUUGGACAAUGGGGGAAACCCUGAUCCAGCCAUCCCGCGUGUGCGACGAAGGCCUUCGGGUUGUAAAGCACUUUUGGCAGGAAAGAAAUCGCAUGGAUUAAUACUCUGUGUGGAUGACGGUACCUGCAGAAUAAGCACCGGCUAACUACGUGCCAGCAGCCGCGGUAAUACGUAGGGUGCAAGCGUUAAUCGGAAUUACUGGGCGUAAAGCGUGCGCAGGCGGUUCGGAAAGAAAGAUGUGAAAUCCCAGGGCUUAACCUUGGAACUGCAUUUUUAACUACCGGGCUAGAGUGUGUCAGAGGGGGGUGGAAUUCCGCGUGUAGCAGUGAAAUGCGUAGAUAUGCGGAGGAACACCGAUGGCGAAGGCAGCCCCCUGGGAUAACACUGACGCUCAUGCACGAAAGCGUGGGGAGCAAAC